AUUUAUUGUUCUCUCCCAGCAUGCCGAGCGCACGUUCCCCUUUCCGCUCGGCGCUAUGAGUGACUGAUUGCCCCCUGACGGUGAGAAAUGUGUUGCCAUCCGAAAACGAAAUUCAAAGCAGCGGAAACGUCGCUCUCCGGAAAAAAAAAAAAAGAAAGAAAAAUGUCACGCAAUCAGAACUUAAUUCACCUUUUGCAUGAAGCUAAAAAAAACCUCAAAGAAAAGGGCGGCUGACUUCUUUAGAAGCGGACCACAUUAAAGCUUCUGCUCAACCUCCUUUCCGUCCAAAUUUCCAGAAUUAAUCCCAAUAAUUCCCUGGCCUUCAUCGCAUGUGCCAUUUUCCCCUUUAAAGCAAACCCAGGUUUCUGAAGCCAUACUGUAAUCACGCACGUCAGACAAUGAUUCAGCCAAAAAAAAAAAAAAACAUUUCAUUGUGCCUGGAGUGGAGCGCGUCAGGCGGCCUCACCUUAAAGUUCAGCUGAGCCCAGUUUUCAAUUUCGGAUGUGGACAAAGAGGCCGUUGUGCACUCUGACGUCUGUCUGCUGGUGCUGGAGCCUCACAGCCCCCAACGCAGAGAGAAGCAAAUUCAAAAAGUCACCGCACCUCCAGGCUGAGGUCUGUUAGCAGAACAAGGGGACACACAUGGAAAUUAGCAGAAGCUCACUCAAAAACAGCCUUAUUCAGCCAAGCAGCCUUACUCCGCCAGACUCUGUGGAGGUGUUAUAUGGAUGAAUGAGAUCUGCCACCCUGACUGCGCCAACCCCGUGCCAACCUCCAUCAAACCCGACGGGUUACCUCGCUACCCGCGCCCAGCGCAUCACCUGACACCGCCGUCCCCGCGAGGCACAGAUUUAAUCUGCCAAGCAAUUUUCUGAAAUCCACUUACAGGGGGAACGUCGAUCCCACAUGCAGAGACCGGGCAAAGCUACAGUACUUAUAGGGUGACUUCCUGCCUCCCUCUCAAUGCAUGCUGGGAUAGGCUCCAGCACCCCCCCACGACCCUGACCAGGAUGAGCGGGUAGAUGGAUGGAUUUCCGGUUUGUGCGGUUGCUAUGGAAACGCAUUCUCUGUCAACACCCGACUGCUCACCGCCGAUGUCACUCGAUUUGAGCCCAAAGGAAAUGCAGCACGGCUGCCCAAUGCAAGGCACCGGCGUGC